AGGUGUUACGCCGGCAUGAACGGAUUACUUUGAUGAAGUAAAUUAUGGGAAUACUUCUCUAACAUCUU
rnacentral:tRNA from 1 species